AGCAGUAUGGUGUAAUGCUGCACACCGUCAUCUCUUAGCAAUUUCUUCAAGAUAAACCCGGAGGUCCUUGUUCGACUCAAGGUGCUGCUC